rnacentral:rRNA from 1 species
GUUAGGAAUAUUCGUCAAUGGGGGGAACCCUGAACGAGCAAUGCCGCGUGAAGGAAGAAGGUCCUAUGGAUUGUAAACUUCUGUUGUAAAGGAAGAACGACCUAAGUAGGAAAUGACUUAGGAGUGACGGUACUUUAUAAGAAAGCUCCGGCUAACUACGUGCCAGCAGCCGCGGUAAUACGUAGGGAGCGAGCGUUAUCCGGAAUUAUUGGGUGUAAAGGGUGCGUAGGCGGUUUUAUAAGUCAGUGGUGAAAGCCCGGAGCUUAACUCCGGUAAGCCAUUGAAACUGUAGAACUUGAGUAUGGUAGAGGCAAGUGGAAUUUCUAGUGUAGCGGUAAAAUGCGUAGAUAUUAGAAGGAACACCAGUGGCGAAGGCGACUUGCUGGGCCAAGACUGACGCUGAGGCACGAAAGCGUGGGGAGCAAAUAGGA